rnacentral:rRNA from 1 species
GAAAGCCCCGGCUAACUACGUGCCAGCAGCCGCGGUAAUACGUAGGGGGCUAGCGUUGUCCGGAAUCAUUGGGCGUAAAGGGUUCGUAGGCGGUAAUACAUGUCAGAUGUGAAAUCUUGUGGCUUAACCACAUCAAGCAUCUGAAACUGUAUAACUUGAGUGAAGGAGAGGUAAGUGGAAUUCCUAGUGUAGCGGUGAAAUGCGUAGAUAUUAGGAAGAAUACCAGUAGCGAAGGCGACUUACUGGCCUUUAACUGACGCUGAGGAACGAAAGCGUGGGUAGCAAACAGGAUUAGAUACCCUGGUAGUCCACGCCGUAAACGAUGAGUGCUAGGUGUCGGGUGUCAAAGCUCGGUGCCGCAGUUAACGCAAUAAGCACUCCGCCUGGGGAGUACGUACGCAAGUAUGAAACUCAAAGGAAUUGACGGGGACCCGCACAAGCAGCGGAGCAUGUGGUUUAAUUCGAAGCAACGCGAAGAACCUUACCAGGACUUGACAUAUAGAUGACAGGUAUGGAGACAUAUUAUUUCUUUCGAGAACAUCUAUACAGGUGGUGCAUGGUUGUCGUCAGCUCGUGUCGUGAGAUGUUGGGUUAAGUCCCGCAACGAGCGCAACCCUUAUUUUUAUUUGCCAUCAGGUAAUGCUGGGAACUAUAAAGAGACUGCCGAUAAGAAAUCGGAGGAAGGUGGGGAUGACGUCAAAUCAUCAUGCCCUAUAUGUCCUGGGCUACACACGUGCUACAAUGGUCGUUACAGAGAGCAGCGAAAUAGUGAUAUCAAGCAAAUCUCAAAAAGGCGAUCUCAGUUCGGAUUGUACUCUGCAACUCGAGUACAUGAAGUCGGAGUUGCUAGUAAUCGCGGAUCAGAAUGCCGCGGUGAAUGCGUUCCCGGGUCUUGCACACACCGCCCG